rnacentral:rRNA from 1 species
AAAGAUUAAGCCAUGCAUGUCUAAGUGGAGUAUUAUAUAGCGAAACUGCGAACGGCUCAUUACAACAGAUAUAAUUUACUAGUUCUUGUUUCUAUAUGGAUAACUGCGGUAAUUCUGGAGCCAAUACAUGCAUCAAGCCUUGGCCUUCGGGUUAGGGUGCAAUUAUUGGAGCAAAACCAGUCUCGUACUGUUUGCUAACUCAGGAUAAUUCUGCAUAUCGCAUGGUCUUGUACCGGCGAAGUUUCUUUCAAGUAUCUGCUUUAUCAACUAUCGUUGGUAGUUUAUUGGUCUACCAUGGUGUUGACGGGUAACGGAGAAUCAGGGUUUGACUCCGGAGAGGGAGCCUUAGAAACGGCUACCAUGUCUAAGGAUAGCAGCAGGCGCGAAAAUUACCCAAUAUCAAAACGAUGAGGUAGUGACGAGAAAUAACAAGAUCGUUCUCUUUGAGAUCGAUUAUUGGAAUGAGUACAAUCCAGAAAUUUUAACGAGUACCUACGAGAGGGCAAGUCUGGUGCCAGCAGCCGCGGUAAUUCCAGCUCUCGUAAUGUAUAGAAUUAUUGUUGCGAUUAAAAAGUUCGUAGUUGGAUUGCAACGCAGGUAUGGGUCCACCUUCUGGGUGCGUACUCAAUGCUUGCAUUUUGCAUGUUUUUGCGGCGUCACUUCGGUGGCGUUCGUGAUGCAUGCAGGAUUACUUUGAACGGCUCAAGUGCUUAAAGCAAGUCUUAUGACUGAAUACCGGUGCAUGGAAUAAUGGAACAAGGUUGUGGCUGAGUUUUAUUGGUCUUGUCGGCCAAAACAAUGGUUAACAGGAACAGCCGGGGGCAUUCGUAUCGCUGCGCGAGAGGUGAAAUUCGUGGACCGUAGCGAGACGUCCUACAGCGAAAGCAUUUGCCAA